rnacentral:rRNA from 1 species
UAAUACGUAGGUGGCAAGCGUUGUCCGGAUUUAUUGGGUUUAAAGGGUGCGUAGGCGGUAGCCUAAGUCAGUUGUGAAAUACGGCAGCUUAACUGUCGAGGUGCAAUUGAUACUGGGUUACUUGAGUACUGAUGAGGUAUGCGGAAUGGACGGUGUAGCGGUGAAAUGCUUAGAUAUCGUCCAGAACACCGAUAGCGAAGGCAGCAUACUAAGGAGUAACUGACGCUGAGGCACGAAAGUGUGGGGAUCAAACAGGAUUAGAUACCCUGGUAGUCCACACUGUAAACGAUGAUCACUCGAUGUUGGCGAUACACAGCCAGCGUCUUAGCAAAAGCGAUAAGUGAUCCACCUGGGGAGUACGCCGGCAACGGUG